UGGCGGCGUGCCUAACACAUGCAAGUCGAACGGAGAUAUUAAUGAAGCUUGCGAUUUAAUAUCUUAGUGGCGGACGGGUGAGUAACGCGUGAGCAACCUACCCAUAAGAGGGGGAUAACAGUUGGAAACGACUGCUAAUACCGCAUAAGCUGGCUGGUACACAUGUACCGGUUAGUAAAGAUGGCCUCUGAAUAUGCUAUCACUUAUGGAUGGGCUCGCGUCUGAUUAGCUAGUUGGUGGGGUAACGGCCUACCAAGGCGACGAUCAGUAGCCGGCCUGAGAGGGUGGACGGCCACACUGGGACUGAGACACGGCCCAGACUCCUACGGGGGGCAGCAGUGGGGAAUAUUGCGCAAUGGGGGAAACCCUGACGCAGCGACGCCGCGUGAGCGAAGAAGGCCUUAGGGUUGUAAAGCUCUGUUUUCAGGAAAGAACGUCGCGGGUAAUAAUACGAUCCGCGAAUGACGGUACCUGAAGAGGAAGCCCCGGCUAACUACGUGCC
rnacentral:rRNA from 1 species